AAGUCGUAACAAGGUUUCCGUAGGUGAACCUGUGGAAGGAUCAUUAACACGUAUCCAACGUUAAACAACCCUGUGAACUUUAAGUCCCCUCUUGCAGCCCAUGAGGAACAGCAAUCCCGGUAAAUCAUUGCCAAACAGUUUUGAUUCGGGACCGAAUGACAGUGUCACUGACUGUACGGAUAACGCCUCACGGUUGCUAGAGGUCGAUCACCGACCGGCAGACAUGUCACAGGGUCACCACGCCCCUUAAUCACUCCACUUGAAAAUGCCCCGCCUAGUGGUAACGCGCUAGGUAAACAAAACCGAACAACUGUUAACAAUGGAUAUCUUGGUUCUC
rnacentral:misc_RNA from 1 species